GCGGGCGUGGUGGAAUGGCAGACACGCCAGACUUAGGAUCUGGUGCCGCAAGGCGUGAGAGUUCGAGUCUCUCCGCCCGCACCA
rnacentral:tRNA from 3 species